rnacentral:rRNA from 1 species
AUACGUAGGGGGCAAGCGUUAUCCGGAUUCAUUGGGCGUAAAGAGCGCGUAGGCGGACGUUUAAGCAGAAUCUCUAAUCUGAGGGCUCAACCCCCCAGCCGGAUUCUGAACUGGAUGUCUCGAGUUUGGUAGAGGAAGAUGGAAUUCCCGGUGUAGCGGUGGAAUGCGCAGAUAUCGGGAAGAACACCGAUGGCGAAGGCAGUCUUCUGGGCCAUAACUGACGCUGAGGCGCGAAAGCUAGGGGAGC